rnacentral:piRNA from 1 species
GUACUUGCAUUGGUGGUUCAGUGG